rnacentral:rRNA from 1 species
CCUACGGGAGUCAGCAGUGAGGAAUAUUGGUCAAUGGCCGCAGGGCUGAACCAGCCAAGUCGCGUGAGGGAUGACGGUCCUAUGGAUUGUAAACCUCUUUUGUCAGGGAGCAAAGGGCGCCACGUGUGGCGCUUUGCGAGUACCUGAAGAAAAAGCAUCGGCUAACUCCGUGCCAGCAGCCGCGGUAAUACGGUGGAUGCGAGCGUUAUCCGGAUUUAUUGGGUUUAACGGGUGCGCAGGCGGAAUGUCAAGUCAGCGGUAAAAUUUCGGGGCUCAACCCCGUCGUGCCGUUGAAACUGGCGUUCUUGAGUGAGCGAGAAGUAUGCGGAAUGCGUGGUGUAGCGGUGAAAUGCAUAGAUAUCACGCAGAACUCCGAUUGCGAAGGCAGCAUACCGGCGCUCAACUGACGCUCAUGCACGAAAGCGUGGGUAUCGAACAGGAUUAGAUACCCGUGUAGUC